UAUCUGAGUUCAUACAACAGCUACAAUACAUCCAAGCAGUAUGAAGAUGGGCAAGUUAUUUAACUCAUGGGAGCCUCAGUUUCCUCAUCUGUAAAGGAGAGAGGCUAAGAAUAUCUUCCGUAGAGGACUGUUUUAAGAAUUAAAUUACAUGUAAUAUUAUAGUUCGUCUAAAAGGAAGGGAUGCUUAUUUGUUUCAUUUCACUGUUAUAACACUGGUACCUAAAAUAGUGCUGGCACUUGGUAAUUCUCCUUAAGUGUUAAUAAAAAAUAAAUGAGAUAACUGUUCGAAUCUCACGUAUUUCAUGUUACUUUCAAGUUGCUGCUUUUCACAUCUAAGAGUUCUUUCCUCAUGCUCUGAGACUUAGUCCUUCGCCUCUCCGGAUUUUAUUAAAUGAUGGAUGUUCUCACUGUCAGUGUAAUCUCCAAGGUCCUGGCCUUUCCUGAACUGGGGUUUGGGUGCACUGAGACGGUAACUACAGCCUUACUACCCCACUACUCAAUUCUUUACUCAAGAGAGGCUGCUUAGAAAGUCUGGGUCUGCAGAAUCUCAUAGUGAUUCCAAUCUAUUAGAUCUGUAGGAUAUUUCCGGAUAACAUAUCAUGUGCUUUGGUGAUUGUUUCUGAAAAGGCAAUAGACUUGUAAGUGUUCUAUGUGUCAUGCAUAUUGGAAGUACACUAAAUAUAUUACUACUUCACUGGGGACUCUCUUGACAAUAAUGUGAAUUGCUGAGGGAACAGAAAUCAAUUUUUAAAGUGUUUCUGACAUCAAAGGUGACCGCUGGGCUUCAGGAAAAGAGUUCAAAGUAAGAUUGACUUCGUGAUUGAGAUAUUCAUAAGACUCACACUGCAAAGGUAGGUUGGGCAUUCUUCCACUGCCCAAGAUGCAAGCGAAUGAUGCAGGCAGAUUCCAAGCUGAGUUUGCUGAGAUAAGGGCCUCCAAGGAACUGAGUUCCGGCAACAUGCAUUGUGAGUACCCAUACCAUCAGGUCUGUCUUUGUAUUCUGUUCUCUGAACCUAAAAUGCCCCUUCUUCAGUUCUCUAUUAAACCCUCUUCACCUGCACAUGCUUCAAUACUCAUCUCAAAUGAAUCCAUUUCUGGCUGGCAGAGUUUUUCAUCUAUCAUUUUUUUCUCCCUGUCUUAUAGCAAAUAUUGGAUCCUAACCUUAGUUAUUUUCACAUGUAACUCUUUUUUUUACCCUACGAUCCUUGGCAACAGGGGAUAUGGCUUACUUAUUUCUGUGUCUCCACACCUUGCUUAGCAUAGAGCCAAACCAAUUUUUUUUUUAAUUAUCAUACUUCAGGUUUAGUAGUAUCUGCAAAAAAAAAGUAUUCUUUAUACAGUAUUAUCUAAGUGGAAAUUUUAUUUUAAAAUUCAAUAGAAAUAAUAUAAAUUAGAUUUUUUUUAAAUCUCAAUAUGAUGGACCAGGUUGGCCAAAUACCAUCCACAGUGAGGGUUAUUAAACGGUAGAUUCAAACAGCAGCAUGGUCCAUCAGAAAUAAUACUUUAUUCAUUUACUUCACCAUUUAUUGUGCACCUACUAUGUGCCAGGCUAAAAUCAUAAGCAGCUUACAUUUUACAAAGGGAAGAUAUAAUAUGCAGCUGCAAAAUGCCAGCAAGAAAAAAAUAUAAUUUUGUGAUAAAAGUCUGUAAUCAAGUGAGUAAAGUAGAAUAUUAUAAAAGGCAUCAGGGAGAUGGUGAAUUUGGAGCUGGAUUUUGUUAGCUAAACACAUAUUGUCCAAGCCAACAGCAAAGGGAAAAUUUGGGCCAUCUUAGCUACAUUAAAUGGCUACACAGUCCAUGUCAUAAAUGCAAUUAUAAGUUGAUGGUGGUCUAUGUAUUUGGAAACACUGACUCAAUCUUCAGCAAAAGUGGUUUGAAAAUGAAAUGGGAAAAUACACUAAGCAAGCAGAGACCAUAAAAGAGGCACUAAUGACAUAAACAUUCAACCUUCCUUACAAACUUUGAAACAGAAAAAUGGUGGUUGCCCAGUUUUUUGUUGUUGUUUGUUUGUUUUUGAGACGGAGUUUCCCUCUGUUGCCCAGGCUGGAG
rnacentral:lncRNA from 1 species